AUGGUGAAUUGGGUGCAGAUGCUAAGGACGCACUUCGUGGCUCGUCUAGCCAAGAACGCCGGCCUCCGGCAGCAUGCAGUCGCCGUGGACGACGAUGGCACCACCGUCAACUUGUGGCUGCCUAAGAAGAAGCAGACUGGAGCAGCCACCACCGCCGGGGGAAACCAAAGGCACGCCGUGGUGCUCGUGCAUGGGUUCGCCGGCGACGGCAUGAUGACGUGGGGGUUCCAGGUGGGCGCCCUCGCCGCGCGCGGCCACGACGUGUACGUCCCGGACCUGGUCCACUUCGGCGGCUCCACGUCGCCGGCGCCCCACCGCUCCGUGGCCUUCCAGGCGCACUGCCUUGCGACGGCACUGGGGAAGCUCGGCUUGGCGGGCCAGCGGUGCACCGUGGUCGGGUUCAGCUACGGCGGGCUGGUUGCGUUCGAGAUGGCGGCGGCGUUUCCCGGCCUCGUCCGCUCCGUGGUCGUCUCCGGUGCCGACGUGGCCUACACGGCGGCCAUGAACGACGUCCUGCUGCAGAGGCUCGGCGCCGGAUCGAUGACGGACCUCAUGCUGCCGGAGACGGUCGGAGGCGUCGAGCGCCUCUUCUCCACCGCGUUCUACAAGAAACCGUUUCUACCCCGUCGUCUGCUCAGCGACUUUCUCAAGGUGAUGUGUGACAACCGAAAGGAGAGAUCCGAGAUGCUGGAAAAUAUGAUUACCAGCAAGGACAAAGAAGCACCAGCCCCUGUUUUUCAGCAGGCCAUACUUCUUUUAUGGGGAGAGAAUGAUAACUAUUUUAUCAUCGAGGAUGCCGAGAGGCUAAAAAGGGAGCUUGGGGAAAAGGCGAUGCUGAGAACCAUAAGCAAGGCGGGGCACCUAGCCCACCUGGAGAGACCAUGUGUCUACAACCGCUGCCUCAAGGAGUUCCUGGCUCACGUCGACCGCCUCCCAUCAUAG
rnacentral:rRNA from 1 species